rnacentral:lncRNA from 1 species
GAAGCUCCAACUCUUCGGAUGGCAGACGUAGAAGUAGCGCUCCUUCCACCCCUUGUUGCUGGAAGGAGCCCCACUGACACGGAAACCCGGUCGGGCGGACAAAUAGUAGCCCCCCGACCCUCUGGAUAGACGGAAACAUGAGAGGAAAAGGGACCGACUCGGAGUGAUCUGGGCGUAGUAGCAUUCCCCGAGGAAUGCCACCAGAUAGCGCCAAGAAUUCGGCGCCAUCUGAGAAGGAGAAAUGCGCCACCACGCGACGCAGGCAGUAAUGAC